rnacentral:rRNA from 1 species
ACGCGAGCUGGGUUCAGAACGUCGUGAGACAGUUCGGUCCCUAUCCUCUGCACUCGCAGCUAGAUUGAGGAAGGCUAUCCCUAGUACGAGAGGACCGGGAUGGACGCAGCUCUCGUGUGCCAGUUGUCCUGCCAAGGGCAUUGCUGGUUAGCGACCUGCGGAAGGGAUAACCGCUGAAAGCAUCUAAGUGGGAAGCCCGUUUCAAGAUGAAUCUAGCCACCGGGUUAACCGGGUAAGGCCCGUGGGAGACCACCACGUUGAUAGGCCGGAGGUGGAAUUGCGGUAACGCAUGGAGCCGACCGGUACUAAUCGGCCGAGGGCUUGGAUCU